rnacentral:lncRNA from 1 species
GUAGAGACGGGGUUUCACCUUGUUAGCCAGGAUGGUCUCGAUCUCCUGACCUCAUGAUCCACCCGCCUCAGCCUCCCAAAGUGCUGGGAUUACAGGCGUGAGCCACCGCGCCCGGCUGCCUUACUAAUUUUAAGUCGCUAACUACCCAUAUAUUCAUGAGCCUGUUUAUGUACCUUCUGUUUCAUUAAUCUAUUUAUAACAAUACUCUGUUGUUUUAGUUAGAGUUGCUUUAAAAUAUAUUUGAAUCUGGUAACACAAAUUCCCCUCUCAAAUUUAUUUUACAAAAAUUUCUCAGGUAUCCUAAGUAUUUCCUCUUCCAAAUUAACUUUACUAUCAAUUUGUAUGGGUUGAUGAAAAUUGGAAUUUUUUGAGUU